rnacentral:rRNA from 1 species
ACUGGGACUGAGACACGGCCCAGACUCCUACGGGAGGCAGCAGUGGGGAAUAUUGCACAAUGGGCGGAAGCCUGAUGCAGCGACGCCGCGUGAGGGAUGACGGCCUUCGGGUUGUAAACCUCUUUCAGCAGGGAAGAAGCCACAAGUGACGGUACCUGCAGAAGAAGCGCCGGCUAACUACGUGCCAGCAGCCGCGGUAAUACGUAGGGCGCAAGCGUUGUCCGGAAUUAUUGGGCGUAAAGAGCUCGUAGGCGGUUUGUCGCGUCUGCUGUGAAAGCCCGGGGCUCAACCCCGGGUCUGCAGUGGGUACGGGCAGACUAGAGUGCAGUAGGGGAGACUGGAAUUCCUGGUGUAGCGGUGAAAUGCGCAGAUAUCAGGAGGAACACCGAUGGCGAAGGCAGGUCUCUGGGCUGUUACUGACGCUGAGGAGCGAAAGCAUGGGGAGCGAACAGGAUUAGAUACCCUGGUAGUCCAUGCCGUAAACGUUGGGCACUAGGUGUGGGGGACAUUCCACGUUCUCCGCGCCGUAGCUAACGCAUUAAGUGCCCCGCCUGGGGAGUACGGCCGCAAGGCUAAAACUCAAAGGAAUUGACGGGGGCCCGCACAAGCGGCGGAGCAUGCGGAUUAAUUCGAUGCAACGCGAAGAACCUUACCAAGGCUUGACAUUCACCGGACCGCCUCAGAGAUGGGGUUUCCCUUCGGGGUCGGUGGACAGGUGGUGCAUGGUUGUCGUCAGCUCGUGUCGUGAGAUGUUGGGUUAAGUCCCGCAACGAGCGCAACCCUCGUUCUAUGUUGCCAGCACGUGAUGGUGGGGACUCAUAGGAGACUGCCGGGGUCAACUCGGAGGAAGGUGGGGAUGACGUCAAAUCAUCAUGCCCCUUAUGUCUUGGGCUUCACGCAUGCUACAAUGGCCGGUACAAAGGGUUGCGAUACUGUGAGGUGGAGCUAAUCCCAAAAAGCCGGUCUCAGUUCGGAUUGAGGUCUGCAACUCGACCUCAUGAAGUCGGAGUCGCUAGUAAUCGCAGAUCAGCAACGAAGCGGUGAAUACGUUCCCGGGCCUUGUACACACCGCCCGU